UGGGGAAUAUUGGACAAUGGGCGAAAGUCUGAUCCAGCCAUGCCGCGUGUGUGAAGAAGGUCUUCGGAUUGUAAAGCACUUUAAGGUGGGAGGAAGGGCAGUAAGCGAAUACCUUGCUGUUUUGACGUUACCGACAGAAUAAGCACCGGCUAACUCUGUGCCAGCAGCCGCGGUAAUACAGAGGGUGCAAGCGUUAAUCGGAAUUACUGGGCGUAAAGCGCGCGUAGGUGGUUCGUUAAGUUGAAUGUGAAAGCCCCGGGCUCAACCUGGGAACUGCAUCCAAAACUGGCGAGCUGGAGUAGGGCAGAGGGUGGUGGAAUUUCCUGUGUAGCAGUGAAAUGCGUAGAUAUAGGAAGGAACACCAGUGGCGAAGGCGACCACCUGGGCUCAUACUGACACUGAGGUGCGAAAGCGUGGGGAGCAAACAGG
rnacentral:rRNA from 1 species